rnacentral:rRNA from 1 species
UACGUAGGGUGCAAGCGUUAAUCGGAAUUACUGGGCGUAAAGCGUGCGCAGGCGGUUUUGUAAGGCAGAUGUGAAAUCCCCGGGCUUAACCUGGGAAUGGCAUUUGGGACUGCAAGGCUGGAGUGCGGCAGAGGAGACUGGAAUUCCUGGUGUAGCAGUGAAAUGCGUAGAUAUCAGGAAGAACACCCGUGGCGAAGGCGGCCCUCUGGAACGCAACUGACACUGAGACGCGAAAGCGUGGGGAGCAGACAGG